CCUGCCAUAGGACAGGCUGAGGCAGAGUCUCAGUGUUGCCCUGUUCAGUCUGAGGCAAGUGGGAUUUAUUUUAUUCGUUCUGGGGGCUUUCACAGCUUUAUGGCUGUUGGAUAUUUAUGUCCCCAAACUUGCAGCAAGUUUGGUGAAGGCCCCUACUUUUAUUUUAAUUUAGGUUUUUAAUUCUCUUUUGGUAGAUGGGCUCUAUAUUAAUAUUUAUCUUUUUAUUACCACUGUUUUUUUUUUUUAAGAGUCUCAGGGGGAGGGAACAUGUUUUGAGAGGUUUGGGUGCUGUUUCACUUAAGGAGCAUUUCCUUCGUGACUGGUCAGGGAGUCCUUCAGCCACACUGUACCCCUGCCCCCUUCCCUUGUGUUUUAUUUGUGCUGUAUUUGUUCUGCUUUUGGUAAUGUGACUUUUUAUACAUGCUGCUGGUUCAAAAACUACAGAUUAAUUACUAAUUUUUCUUCUGGAAAGAUGUAUUUAACAAAGUGCUUGAAAUACUGAGGUUUUAACUAAGAAGUGACAUCCCUUGUCACAAAGACUUGCAGCCUAAAUUACAGUUGCUAUGGAGGAGGACAGCUGCUGUAUUUGUAAGCUGCACCACAACAAAUGUUAAUGUAGAGCCCUGUGAAGCAAUAGAGAUUCCAGUUGAUAGAAGAAUGAGAAAAGAAAGCUGAAGUUCUUUCUGUUUGUCACUUUCAGGAAAACCUUUUCAUUGAUCACUUAAAUACACUGAACUUCACAGUAAUCUGUUGCGUCAGUGUACUGGAAAAAAAAAAUCAUCUUACUUUCUUGAGGCUAUGUGGGCUUGUUGCAUAUCCAAAAUUUGCUGAAGGUUAUGGCUGUCUGAAUGUACUACUUUUGCAGAAUAGCUGGCAAAAACUUCCACCUUUUGUGAAAAAAAAGGAGCUUUACUGUUGCUGCUUAUUCAUAGUACGCUGAUUUUGAAUGCUUGAGGUGGCUUAAAGAAAGCUUCAGAAAAGCAGGUUUUGUCCAAGGAAGUUCUUAAUUUUUUGUGGAGCACAAUAUGCAUCUCAUUUCUUCAAGAGUGUGAUCAGUAAUGACGCACUUGGAGAUGUCAGUAAGUUGAAUUGAAAGAUAAGCAGUGGAUUUCUCAUGGGGGGCCUGAGUAGUCUCUGACUGGAAAGUUGACAUGUCCUCUGCUCCAUGUUUCAGAGUGACUACUGGUUUCCUUACUAUGGUGCUACUCUUAGGAACAGUGCUUUAAGAUACACUAGCACAACUGGUCGUUAUUUCACUUAGUCUCCAGGAGCAUUUGGCUUAGUUCUUAUUCCCCCAGAGUAUCUAAAGAAGCCAUUUAACUAAGUAUUCAGCAUGGCUUGUACUUCUUUCAGCAGCUGAAUCUCUGAAAGACUCAAGAUGGAAAAAAAGCCAAAUUUUGGAUGCAUUGUGUUCAAUUUUGUCAUCAGUUUUCAUUUAAGAAUGAUGCAGCAUGGGGUAGUUUUUAUGCAGCUACUUGUAUUUAGCUUGUAUCACAAACAUGUAGCUGAAGUUCACACAAAUGCUUCAUUGUCUGUAAUGAAGUGCCCUACUUAGAUCCACACUUGGGCUACCUCAAUACAUUGAUAUUCUAGUGAGAGCUAAACAUUCUCAAAGCAAACUUCUGUUUUUAUUGGAGCUAAGUAGGUUUACAUGUUCGUGGAAAGUAUGUGUCAGGGAUGCAGUUCCUGUCUCCCUUGUCGUUGAUCAAGCUGUGUGUACUGAUACUUCAGAGCAGAUGAGACAUUUCUGUAUAUUUUUGUAUGGUUUGACACAACACUUCAUAGCAUCACAAAACUAUUUAAUUUUUUUUUCUUAAAGCUUUUGGAAAAUUUCAAGAAAGUGAAUUUCACACUGCUUCUGAAAGAUGCAUUUGACUCCAGGAUAAUUCCAUGUACUGCUAUUCUGUGACAAUACCAUAUGAAUUACGGCUUUUUGCUCUAGGUUUUUCCUGUUGUUCAAACAUUCUUUGCUUCUACCCUUUACAUCACUGUCCUUUUCUGUAAGUCUGUAUGGAUUGGACAGGACCUUUUCUGUUCCCUGUUUGGGUGUUGGUGGUUUUAGCAGGCUAUAUCCGUGUUACUCUGACCUGUUACCACAGACUAAUGUUUGUGCUUAAAUUUACAGCAGCUAAUGAUGUGCAUUUUCCGUUUGCUUUGUGCCUCGUCCUAAAAGGUAUGUGUGCAGAGUACUGCUGUCUUUCUAGUCCAAAGGAUGGCAUGAUGGCUCUAUGCUGAAAAGGUGCAAGUAUCUGCUCAGCUGUCAGAAUAGCUGCCCUGUCGUCCCUUUAAAACAACCUGAAAAGUUCCCAUUGAUUGCAAAGGGUUCACAUCUUGAUCUUUUGAUGAAUCUCUGUUGGUGACCUCCUUCCUGCCUCAUGGAUCUAAGGAGGGUAGUACCAAAAGAAACUUACUCUGUAAAUUGAAUUUAUUGAUUUGGAAUGUUGGUAGUGUUUUUACAGGCACUCCAGUGCGUGCUGUCAGUAUUGCAGCAGUGUCACAAAGCUGUAUAAUGCACUGUGGAAUUUCAUUUCUAAUAUCUGUCAUAUUUUAGUGAAUUGAUUUUCAUAGGCAGAAGUGGAAGCAGGUUUUGAAGAGGUUGGUUUUUAAGAUUGUGGAGAGCUACGUGGCUCUUCUUAAACAUUAGGAAUGACUGAAAUUCUGCUAAACUGAGUGAAUUUCAACAUGCUGGUGCUGAGGAGUGAAGGAGAGAUGUAGAAAAGUACAUAGCACAGCAGGAGUUCUGGCUGGCUUUAGGACUGUUCUGUGCCAUGCCUGAUAACUGCUAUGACCCUUAGUACUCUGAGGGCAGGCUAUCUCCAAACUUACAUUUUAAUAUACCUGCAGUCAAGACAGCGUUACCAGUGAAAUGCUGGCAGUUGCUUCAGAAAUGCAGUGAUGGUGACUGCUGCGAUUUUUAAUCAGAACUAAGUGAGGUAAACAGGAGUUUGGGAGUGAGAAGUCUCGGAGGCAGCCCUGAAGGGGAUGGAGUGUUCAUUGGGUGGCUGAAGUGCUAUGUAUAGAACUGAUUUGUUUGGGAAGUUCUGAAAAAUUUUGAUAAUUUUCUUGUAUUCUCCUUUAAACAGCAGCUUUAUGCAAUCUUUUGAUUAUCAGAGCAUGCAGAUUUUUAUUCAGGCUCUAUUGGAAGAAAAUACAAUUCCAGUACAGAAUACAGAGAUUCUGUUGUAUAGUGAAUGCUCUUUUGCUCCAUGGAAGUUCUUGGGAGGUGUGAGGGAGCCAGGCGCCUCGGCGUGCCGCCUCUGCAGCCAGCCACAUCCGUCCUGAGCUGGGUGCUCCUGGGUGCUAUCCUUCAGUCCUUUGUUCUCAGCGUCCUGAUGAGUCUGUGCUGGCUGUCGGUGAGGACUUACAUUUAUACAUCGGACCUCUGUUGUGAGUAAAAACACACCUUGUCCCUUCUGAACAAGUUUACGCUGACUUGUUCUAUUGUUUUAGGCUCACCUGCAGUAGUAGCAGUCAGCAGCACUGCCACUUCCAUAAUGAUGAAUUAAACUUCCCUGCAGAUAAGUCCUGAACAUACCUUAAUGCUCAUGUUUCUCAGAAAAGUUGAAACGUUCUGAGAAAACAGUAGAGAUUGAGUGCAAGUAACAUGUUAACCACAAGCAAGUGAUCCACAUUUUGGCAUUACAGUGUAUGUGUUAGGUAACUACCUUACACCAGAUCCAGGUUUCUCAUGUCUCAAAUUUGAUCUUAAAUCUUCCCUACAUCUUAACCACAUUCCCAGGUUCUUUUUAAAGAGGGUAGGUGCCGAAUUUCAGCUUCUGCUGCCCUGAGUAAUCGGUAUCUAUAAAUGGUUUUGGCUGGUGGCAACUUAGAAUUACCCAAAAGCUAUGCCAUACAACCAUGGAAACUGUUUCAGUGUCCAACUUAGGGAAGUAUAUAAUGCUUUGAAAUAAAGAUGUCAUGCAAAGCUUCUUUCUUUCUCUUUGUCCCCCCAUUGUGUUGUAGAAGUGUGUGAUACGUGCAAGCACUGACUUCUUUAGCUUCUAGUCGAAGAAAAUACAUUUUGCUCUUUCAUUUGUAAAGUCUAGAAUAAGAAAACACUUUAUGAGAGUAUUUAAUGAAGGACCCUGGCAAUGUAAGUAUUGUGAUUUCCUUUCUAUUUGUGUUAGGCAAUGGGGUUACCUUGUUAAACUUCUGGCUUGUGUAUCAAAAUAACAGAAACGUAAAGGCAAAUUGAAAGUAAUUUUAUAGUUGCCUUCACUUCAUAUGCUUUUCUUAAGUGACAAAUUAUAGUAAUUGAAGUUUGGCAGCUUUUUUAAUUGAAAAACUAAAUUAUGGGUUAAACUCCUUGGUUUAAUACAAUUUGUGUUUUUGUCAACUAGCAGCAGAAUUUCAGCAUUUGCUACUUACUGGUAGAGAAGAAAUAUCCUACAGCACUGCCAGUACAGCUCUCUGGCUAUAAACCAUUCAAGAACUUAGCGGUCUGCACCUGGAGAUGAGAAGUAAGUGAAUCUUUCUUAAUAUUUAACUUUUGGUGUUAAUCCACUGUCCUUUUUCUCAACUGAUUGUACAGAGAAACUAGACUAAGUUGGAGAGGUAGGGGAAUGCUGGGGGGAAAGUAUCUAAUAGCAUUUUUAUGAAACCUGAUAGAGGGGACAUAAAGUGGUCUGUCUGUUCUAAGCCCCUCAGAGCAAAGCACUGGAGAAAUGAGUAUCUUUGAAGAUGUUUGUCCUUGCAAAAUGAGCAUGGAUAACUGCUAGGCAGCUUGGUCUCAUUUAAUUGUACUCAUUGUACUCACAGGUUAAUUUCUUAAGAGAUACUGAAAUAUUAAAUCCUUGAUUUUCAGUACUAUGUGACAUGAUACAGUGUUUGUCCUCAGGCCCUUUCAGCAGUGUCUGAGACUGUAUUUGAAAAAGUGUGCUCUGAUGGCUUAACAGGGUGCCCAGAGACAAGAGCUUUGUCACAUGGCUUGUUAAAGUUCUCCCAGGUUUGAUUCAUUAAUCAGAUUGUUGGGGUAUUUGACUGUGACCAUGUGAAGGAUGAGCUUGGCUUCAAUCUGCCACAUGACUCCUACCUGUUUUGUAAAGCAGGGCCACCCUGAGUUGAGUGCAGGUUUAUGCUUUUUUUCUCUUAUGUUGGCUUUUCUGUUUGUUAGUUUGGAGGAGGACAGAUAGAGUAAUUAUCUUUGUAAUACAGUGAAGUAGAGUUUGAAUCUUGGUUUCUGAGAGGUAAGAAUGGGUGCCUUUGGAAAGAAAGACUCCUUCCUGUGUCUCAGAAGGAAGACUUCUCAAGCCUGCAGUAGUGUGGACAUUAUUUAUUUUUAUAUAUGUUUAUAUACGCUUAUAUUUAUUUCUUGUAGCUUCUCCCCUUCUUCCUGUCCUGCCCCACAGCUAUAGCUUUAAAUAGCAGGAAGAGGGGUUUUAUGCUAAAAUACGAACCUGAGGUUGGUGUGGCUGUGCUGUUCCCUUUCCCUUUCACCUUCUCCAGCCCUGGUUCUGAAACCUGCAUUAAUCCAUGUGUGCUAGCAGUGUAGCUUAUUUCCACAGGCACGCAUCAUCACUAAAGUCAUGAGAGUACAAGUCUUUAUUUAGUAGAAUUGUAAAAGAUCUUUACAUGAGAAAUACAAAAAUAGGAAUAGGCUUUGAAUCUCCUUAGUUAAAAGUACUUUUUUUCUUAAGCUGUAGAAAUACAUAAUUUGCACACUCAGUCUCUUAAUUGCUCUCAUACACUGUAAAACUAGGAAAAGCCUUACAGUGUUCCAGUAAAGUCACUGUAAGUGCCCAAUUGCUCAUACAUAGAACAGUCCAUAACUUAUUAGUUGGAGACACAGUGACACAAUCAGAUUAAUCUCCACUUUUCCUUGAGCUAAUGAAUUUUUUGAAAGAUGCAGUAUAACUUUUCCAGUUAUUAUAAUAUGAUUAAAUAUAAAUACAAAAAUGAUUAAGAAAGAUUUGGCAUGCUUUGUACUUGUACCACUUUUUACUAGGAAGUGGUAUCAAAACAGUUAUUAAAUAAAUAUAAAUAUGUUAAAUAAAUACAUUGUAGAAGAACACACCCACCUCUGUCAACUCAGAAUUCAGCAUUUCUUCAUCCUUCGCACACACUUGAUGCUUUGUGUCACAGCUUUAGGGCCAAAGAAAAGAAAUACUGCAUCUUUAAAAACACAGGUUUCCAUGGACAUGAAGCAGAAAAUGAGGUAACUUUGUAGCUUUCUUCCUCCUAUCAACUUCACUGUUCAAUAUGUCUCAGUUCCUCUUUGGCUUCUUUUACCCAGGACUCAUUUCUUACCUCUGGCUCUGCAGCUGACACUCCUUUUCUUUAGAAGAAAGGAAGGAAUGCUUGCAGUGGGUGAAUCAUUACCAUUUCAGGAGCAGCUCAUUGCUGACAUCAGCGUAUCUUCCUGAAGUUACUUGUGCAGACACUGGUUUUUAAGACAAGUACUGCUCUAGCUCUCCUGUGAAUACUGGCUGACAUUAAAACAAUGAGGUUUUCGAUGUA